GUAGGGUGCGAGCGUUAAUCGGAAUUACUGGGCGUAAAGUGUGCGCAGGCGGCUCUGCAAGUCGAGUGUGAAAUCCCCGGGCUUAACUUGGGAAUGGCGCUCGAAACUACGGAGCUUGAGUAUGGCAGAGGGAGGUGGAAUUCCACGUGUAGCGGUGAAAUGCGUAGAGAUGUGGAGGAACACCAAUGGCGAAGGCAGCCUCCUGGGCCAAUACUGACGCUCAUGCACGAAAGCGUGGGGAGCAAACAGGAUUAGAUACCCUGGUAGUCCACGCCCUAAACGAUGUCGACUAGUUGUUGGGGGAGUUAAAUCCCUUAGUAACGCAGCUAACGCGAGAAGUCGACCGCCUGGGGAGUACGGUCGCAAGAUUA
rnacentral:rRNA from 1 species